rnacentral:sRNA from 1 species
GGCGGCGGCACUGCGGUGAAAGCCGAGGCAGCGGGCAGACGAGCAGGGGGCGGGCGGACAUCUUGGGAUCCGGAGAGUGGCCGGGCCGGCAGAGCAGAGGGCCGCGGACACCAGGUCUGUUCUCAGAGCGAUGGGCUGCGGAGACUGAUCUGCCGCCAUGAUUGGAGGCUUAUUCAUCUAUAAUCACAAGGGGGAGGUGCUCAUCUCCCGAGUCUACCGAGAUGACAUCGGGAGUCGUCAGGCUGCUGACUCAGCUGUCUCCAGUUCCUCUGGGCCAUUCCCUGGGGAGAGGCUGGGAGGAAGCAUGAGGCACUCUCUGGGUCACUGUGGGAGGGCAGGGAAGCCAUGCUACCCUCUCAGUAGACCCAGAGCAGCUCCAUAUCCUGGGCCUUCACACAGAGCCACAGCCUGCCUUCUCAUUCUGCGCCCUCUUGCACGCCCUUGUUCUUUGCGACUGAAGGGACCUAUCCUAGCCUCCGAGGCGCUAAAGAGUAGGCUCCUCUGGUUCCUGCUGCCUGUUUUUCUUCCUCAGACAGCUUGAGAUAAAGUCACAGAAUGGGCC